ACAGGGAAUUGGAUUAUUUAGAAGGGGGAUGUUAUGGCUUAUAUCUAGAUGCCCUCCCAAAGCUCAUAUGUGGGCUUGCGGAAGGUGAUUCAAUUAUGGGGGCUUAUAGCUGUGCUGUUAAGAGGUGGAGUCUGGUCAGAAGAAGUAAAUCAGUAGGAGAGGCCUGGAAGGGUUUACCUUACUCCUCAGCUCCUCCCUUCUCUCUCUACUUUCUGGAUGCCAUGAGACGAUCAGCUUUUCUUCUGCCACGCCCCUGUGCCAUGCCAUCCUGCCAUGGAGCCAGAUGAACAUGGUCUGAAAUAUGUUGUCUUCAACUUUCUUGCUUCCUAUGCUACAAGGAAUGAACCUGAUCCUUUCUGUCCUGCAGCUCCAGGUCCAGAAACACAUGUGUAAAAUAUUCUUGAAGAAAAGCAGUGUUCUCAUCACAAAAAUGACAACUAUGUGAGCCAGGCAUGGUGGUGCACGCCUGUGAUCCCAGCACUUGGGAGGCUGUGGCAGGAGGGCUGUCAUGAGUUUGAGGCCAGCCUGAACUACACAGGAAGAUCCUGUCUCAAAAAACAUUAAAAAAUUAAAAUUAUCUUUCUCUUUCAAAUCUUACAACUAAUCCAUACACUGUAAUUUUUAAAGUAGAACAAUUUCCUGGCUUCAAAG
rnacentral:lncRNA from 1 species